rnacentral:rRNA from 1 species
GACGAACCGUGCGAACGUUGUUCGGAUUCACUGGGCUUAAAGGGCGCGUAGGCGGCUUGCCAAGUCAGGGGUGAAAUCUUUCGGCUCAACCGGAAAAGUGCUUCUGAUACUGGCGGGCUCGAGUGGGGUAGGGGCGGACGGAACUUCCGGUGGAGCGGUGAAAUGCGUAGAUAUCGGAAGGAACGCCGGUGGCGAAAGCGGUCCGCUGGACCCCUCCUGACGCUGAGGCGCGAAAGCCAGGGGAGCAAACGG